rnacentral:piRNA from 1 species
CUGCGCUUCACUGGGACUCCUC